AUUGAACGCUGGCGGCAGGCUUAACACAUGCAAGUCGAGCGGAGAUGAGGUGCUUGCACCUUAUCUUAGCGGCGGACGGGUGAGUAAUGCUUAGGAAUCUGCCUAUUAGUGGUGGACAACAUUCCGAAAGGAAUGCUAAUACCGCAUACGCCCUACGGGGGAAAGCAGGGGAUCUUCGGACCUUGCGCUAAUAGAUGAGCCUAAGUCGGAUUAGCUAGUUGGUGGGGUAAAGGCCUACCAAGGCGACGAUCUGUAGCGGGUCUGAGAGGAUGAUCCGCCACACUGGGACUGAGACACGGCCCAGACUCCUACGGGAGGCAGCAGUGGGGAAUAUUGGACAAUGGGCGGAAGCCUGAUCCAGCCAUGCCGCGUGUGUGAAGAAGGCCUUUUGGCUGUAAAGCACUUUAAGCGAGGAGGAGGCUACCUGGAUUAAUACUCUAGGAUAGUGAACGUUACUCGCAGAAUAAGCACCGGCUAACUCUGUGCCAGCCGCCGCGGUAAGAC
rnacentral:rRNA from 1 species